UAGGAGAGAGGGCAAGGAAGGCUGCUAAGGUCUUUGGCAUUUAUGGCCAAGUGUUUACUGUGGCUUUGCUCUUCUUUGUGUUAGCAGAGUACCAUCAUUUUAAAUGAUUUUUCACAGGUUGAUAAGGCUGCAGUUUGCAGACCGCAUUGCCCACCGCCCUGAACAGAGGAAUCAUAAAUCCCAGCUCCUUUCAGUGUCCCUUGCCUCCAGUUUCUGCCUCCUGGGACAUGGCCAUUUAUAAUGACAAAACAACACGAAUUGCCUUUCUUCUUUCUUUGUACUGCAAUAAAGGAGAACAUAGAUAAAGCAGCAUUGUUCUUCUGUCUGAUGAUGGACCAUGUGGUGAAGGACAAAGCUCCAGUUUCCAUGGCAUCCUAAAAACUUCAGAGCUAUCGUACUUCAGAUAUUGAUGGAGCCUUGUAUGACAGAUGGAUGGUUCAGAACCUUUAUUUACUGGGAUUUCAAACACAGCUCAAAAUCUGGAGCCUUCUAAACACAGAUGUUUCUCUGGGUUUGUUGGCUUUAUUUGGAGUUGUUGCACCUGGAGGACUUUUCUAUCUGACCUUCUCCCAUGGUGGCUUUAUGACUGUCCCCAUCUUCUCAAGCACAUAACCCCUUUCUGACAUCCUAUAACGAAAUGGGAUCAGAGGGCAAUCUGGGCAGAAAAGCUAGCAGCAUGGAAAACAGCUUGCUAAAAUUGCCAAAACCUCACAGACUUGUUCUCUGUUGGUCUUCACCACUCCUCCUCCUCUCCCAGUGGUGUGUCUGGAGCUGGUGACAAGCAGGCGAUUGCAGUGAUGGCAACAUUUUGCUGCCUGAGAGCUUCUAACUGUUAGGCCAUUUAGGACAUAGCAUGACCCUAAGGAGAGGUGUCCACAGCAGCAGUCUUCCCUCAGGCACAUUGGCUCACAAGGGGAAAUUUCUCAGCAAUGCAUGGGCUUAAAAUCUGUGAUUUCUCUUUUCUGUGUCAAGCAGCAUGUGUUGCUGAAGUUUUGGGGCAUAUCUAGUAUCUGGAGCCAUUCAGCUUAGUGCAGUCAAAUCUGAAUUAGAUCACCCGUGGUCAUCGCCAAGUAGGAAAAGUUCUGCACAGGCCAAGAAUUUCUAAAAUAUUAGCAUUUUGCAUAGCAGAAAUUACUGCUAGGUUUUCCUCCUAGUAAAUAAACAUAUAAACAAUGAAACACAAUAUCUUGGGACAUCAGGUCACUUCAGAGUAACUUUCCAUGGUCUUAUUUGAGUUUCUAGUUUUCUGAGAAGUUAUUAUAACCUUCCCUAUGCAUGAUGAAUAGGAAAGUCCCAGCCCAGGUGAAUCAGCUGCCUGAACACCCAUCUGUCAGCAAAAUCAAAAUAAAUGUACACUUGUAGGGAAACUCAUCAUAAUCCUUAUGUCCUUUGCCACAGAGAGCUGACAUGAAGCCUGAUUCUUCGAGACUGCAGGAUGUUUAUAAUAACCUCCUUGUUUCCAGGCAGGCAGCUUUUUUUUUUCUUUUUUUUUUUUCUUUUUUUUUUUUUUUUCCCCAGUAAUAUAUAUCUCAAUGGCUAAAUGCUGCUUUAAGCAUGAUCAAGACAAGGCUUAAUGGCAAUAUAACCUUUAAAAUCAUCAAGUAAGGGGAACAAUACAUGUCCAAAGAAGAUGAAAGUUCUAAAAGUGAGCUGUGAGAUGAGGUCCUUAAUCAGGAUCUUAAUUAGGAACCUUAAUAAUUUAGGGUCCCUGUGCAACUUGUCUGCUUCUCUGCUUAGUAGGAGGGGGAAGAAAUUCAAAGGAUUUCAUGCCACAGGGCAAUCUGUGCUCAGAUUACAUGAUGGCUUUGCUGCGUCUUUUCCUUCCCCUUCCCAGCUUUCCAUAUCAUUGUCAGCUGUGUCCAGGUGUGUCCACCUUCCCUCAAUACCCACAAAUUAUUUCUUCUCUCAUAAGGUUAACCAAUUCACUGUCCUGCUGUUCUGUAUUUCUCUGUAGUCAUUGGACAAAAUCUGUUUAUAGGAUGGGCUCAUGACACUAACAGAACAGGAUGGGCAUGAGAAAUCCUCCCAGCUGAGGAAGAAAUCACUGUGGGACUAAGUGCUCAGCUGGUUUUCAGCACACAUCUUCCCUUGGACCAGCUGUGAAGUCUUGGCUCUGGGCUGUGCUACCUGCAAACACGAUGGAUCUGCCCCAUCACAGGCUCCGUGUAUAGGGCCUGCAAUGACCUGGACAUCUGGGUGAUGGGACAUCUGCAAUGAGGGGACAUCUGGAGCAGGAAACUCUGUCCUGAAGGCCUUUCCUUGGAGCAACUGCAGUUUUUCCUGGAUCAGACCAAUCUCUUGGCCUCCUGAUUUCCCCUGGAGACUCAAGUCACCCUCUUUGCUCCCUUGUUUGUGUUGUCUGAGGUGUGGAAGAUGCUGAGGAAAGUCAGAAAAUGCAGAGCUGCAUCUGUUCCCAACCCUCUCUAGGGAUGCACAUGCAAGCUUAGAGGGAGAGGGCAGCUGGAGAGCUUGCACGGCCACUUUACUGGUUGACCUCAAUGUGGUGUGGUUCUCCUUGGCCACAAGAAUUUAAAUGGGGAGGAGAGAUCCUGCCAGAAUAACCUGGGGCAAAGACAGACACCCAAGAAUGUGCCAAGCCAAGCAGUGUGGGAUAGCAGCAAAGCAUCUGCCAGCAGAGAGCACUGGGAGCCCACUCUCUCACUGCAACCCAGUAAGAACGAGCAGUCCACAAAGUAAAGUAAUGUGUGAUCCAAGGAGGCUUAACUACAGCCCAUGGAGCUGGGUGAGAAGCAGGUUGGAUGUGUAAGGCAUUUUAGCAUAAACCAGCCGCGGCUGUUGUUGAUAUUGCUUCCUACGAUCCGUCACAAUGAGGUUGUGGUUGAGUAAUUCAGCAAAAGCUCCAGUGCUUCUCACAAAACAGAAAUCAACCAUCGCUGGGUAUUAAUGGAGUGAGAAAAGUAAUUAAGUCUAAUUUCAAAUGUCUCAGCCAAUUAAGUAACAGAUGUGAGAAAAGCUGUGUAAUUUAGCUCUGCUCAUCAAAAAUGAAAUUGUCCACAUUUACAAACCUCAUGCUGAGCCCCUGGGAGGCUUAGGCAAGGCUCAUUUGAGGAAACACACAGGUUGUGUAAAGGUGUCAAGAUCAAGUGCACCUUCUGUUUUUCUUGUUCAUAAAAUUGUGUCUUUCAGGUUUUAAUGCUUCAAAUCUCAGCUCUGCCCUCAGGCAUUCCCAGGAAACCAAGCUGAGCCUGGCCAAACCAAGAGCUGUCAGUGGGACUGAGAAGAAGCCUUCAAUUCAUAAAUGGGAAAUACGCUCCUCAAAAGGCAGGGUGUAAGCUCAACCUGCCAGAGCCCACCUCACCAUUUGCCCUGAGCCAACAUUUACAGCAGUGUUUGCAAAUGUGGGACCUGAUCCGGAUUUUGAAUGUGCAUGAGCUUCAUGUGCAAUUGUCGCAAAGAAUUUUAUUGAGUUAUGUGGGAGUCAGGCUCACAUAAGUAA